rnacentral:rRNA from 1 species
UAUAUGGAGAUGCCUGGAAUGGUUCUCCACUUAAAGCUCCGGCGCCUAAGGAUGGAUCUGCGGCAGAUUAGGUCGUUGGUGGGGUAAUGGCCCACCAAGCCUGUAAUCUGUACGGGUUGUGAGAGCAAGAGCCCGGAGAUGGAACCUGAGACAAGGUUCCAGGCCCUGCGGGGCGCAGCAGGCGCGAAACCUCCGCAAUGCGAGCAAUCGCGACGGGGGGACCCCAAGUGCUACUCUUAACGGGGUAGCUUUUCUAAAGUGUAAAAAGCUUUUGGAAUAAGGGCUGGGCGAGACCGGUGCCAGCCGCCGCGGUAACACCGGCAGCCCGAGUGGUGGCCAUUUUUAUUGGGCCUAAAGCGUUCGUAGCCGGCCUGAUAAGUCUCUGGUGAAAUCCCACAGCUUAACUGUGGGAAUUGCUGGAGAUACUAUCGGGCUUGAGGUCGGGAGAGGUUAGAGGUACUCCCAGGGUAGGGGUGAAAUCCUAUAAUCCUGGGAGGACCACCUGUGGCGAAGGCGUCCAGCUGGAACGGACCUGACGGCAAGGGACGAAAGCUAGGGGCACGAACCGGAUUAGAUACCCGGGUAGUCCUAGCCGUAAACGAUACUCGCUAGGUGUCGGCCACGGUGCGACCGUUGUCGGUGCCGUAGGGAAGCCGUGAAGCGAGCCACCUGGGAAGUA